rnacentral:lncRNA from 1 species
CUCUGUCCAUGUGCGACCUUGCCCUUUGCUGGAGAGCGAUAUUUCUGGUCAGGAAGCAAUAGCGGCACACUCUCUAAUCAGCUCACAUUUCUAGAAGGGCUGCCUCCGACACGGGUGGCUGUGGCCUUUAAAGGUAACAGAGCCUGGGGGUAAACUUCCCAGGGCAGGGAAGUUGCUGUUCUUACAGCUGGGCUUGGCUGCUUUUCCUUUGCUUGGUUAUAUUUACACAUGAUGAAAUUUGUAACAUAUUGUAGUUUUCUACUAAACUUCAAGGUUCUACGGUUAGAACAGCUGUGGGAAAGGCUAGUCUAAUAUCAUUAAAUCAGACUUGAGGGGCACUAAUUUAAUUUUUCUAAAUAAAAUGAUUUUUUAAAAAUAUAUUUUCAUUUUAGGAAAAGGUUAAAAUAGGCAAACAAUAAGAAAAUAAAAACCAGCUGGGCACGGUGGCUCAUGCCUGUAAUCCCCAGCACUUUGAGAGGC